AGCAAGACAUUUACAGACUCAUAUUGACUCUGUAAACCAAUUGGGUAACUCUGCAUCCAUGUGAACGACGAAAGACGGUUGCUUUCUAGCACUACGUGCUAAGCUGUCCGUCCGUUGAUUCUCCGUCCGAGGUACAUGAACAAUAUCUGAGUUGAGGAAACUUCUCCGAAGAAGCUUGAUAUCUUCCAGAUAACUUUCAAAAGCUGGCUAUUCUGCUGGUUCCGAAACCAUCUUCACCAAUUGAGAACAAUCCGUUACAAACGUAACCUGAAACUGUCGUAAGUUCUUCAUACAUUUCAUUGCCCAAAUCAAAGCUUCCAAUUUGGUUAUAGUUUUCCGGAUAAUUUCGAUAUCUAUACUAUUAUUUAUGAAGUGAUUUAGCUUAUUUGUCAUGAUUUCCAUGAUUUUAGGUAAUUUUGCUUAUUUGUCGAGUUUUGAUUAGGUUUAAAUUGAGUCAUUACUUUAUUAAUAAUUUAAGUUGAGUCCAUAAUUUAUUAAUUUAGAUAAUAUAACUAUAAAAUAUGUAGAUAUAUAAUUAUAUUGAUUUUGCUUAUUUGUCAUGUUUUCCAUGAUUUUAGUCAGUUUUGUUUAUUUGUCAUGUUUUUAUUAUGUGUUACAUUUACAGACUCAUAUUGACUCUGUAAACCAAUUGGGUAACUCUGCAUCCAUGUGAACGACGAAAGACGGUUGCUUUCUAGCACUACGUGCUAAGCUGUCCGUCCGUUGAUUCUCCGUCCGAGGUACAUGAACAAUAUCUGAGUUGAGGAAACUUCUCCGAAGAAGCUUGAUAUCUUCCAGAUAACUUUCAAAAGC
rnacentral:lncRNA from 1 species